rnacentral:lncRNA from 1 species
AGGCAGGCUGCAGUGGAGGAGGGUACGCCGUUCCAUUGGCGUGGUACUGUCGGCGGCCCUUCAGAGGAGAUGCUGCCCCACGGAACGCCUGGCAAGUGCUGGCGAAGCGGCAUGGGCGUCCCACUCCGUUCCUCAACCAAUUUCCUCACAAUCGCGAGCCGAAGUGUGGCGCUUUGGCAGUUUCGCAAGGUCUUUUGUCAGGAGAUGAGUUACUGAGGAUUGGGGGUCUUUGGAGCUCUUGGACCUGAAGAACGAUUAAGUUUUUCUCCCUUCAGAGAGCCAAGAGAUGGGGUCUUGCUGUGUUGCCCAGGGUGGAGUGCAGUGGCUAUUCACAGGUGUGAUCAUAGCUACUAUAGCCUCAAACCCUGGGUUCAAGUGAGUCCUUUGAACUAGAACAUUGGCCUUUUCUGGUUCUGCAGAAGCUUCCAGCCUUCAGAUUUGAACUGGGACACUGGCUCUGCAGAUUUUGGACUUGCCAGCCUUCAUAAUUGUAACCUACACUCCUGUCAUUUGUGGAAUGAUUGCUGGAGCCAGAGGCCAGGAAGAAGUUCAUGAGCCUGAGAGAAAAAGCAAGGAUUUCCAGUUCUACCCUGUAAGUCACUGAGCUCACUGAGCUUCAUUUUUCUUAUCCAUCAAAUGGGGAUAUUGAUUUUUUUUUUUUUUUUGAGACCAAGUUUCAUUCUUGUCACCCAGGCUGGAGUACAGUGGCGUGCUCUCGUCUCACUGCUACCUCUGGCUUCCGGGUUCGAGUGAUUCUCCUACCUCAGCCUCCUGAGUAACUGGGAUUACAAGUG